UACGUAGGGGGCUAGCGUUGUCCGGAUUUAUUGGGCGUAAAGAGCGCGCAGGCGGCUUGGCAAGUCGGGUGUGAAAUCCCGGGGCUCAACCCCGGGACUGCAUUCGAUACUGUCAGGCUAGAGGUAGGUAGGGGAGAUCGGAAUUCCUGGUGUAGCGGUGAAAUGCGCAGAUAUCAGGAGGAACACCGGUGGCGAAGGCGGAUCUCUGGGCCUUGCCUGACGCUCAGGCGCGAAAGCUAGGGGAGCGAACAGG
rnacentral:rRNA from 1 species